CACCUCUUUUUCUUUUUGAAAAUUCAUCUACACCCUAUGGAUUUUAUUCCUUCGGGUGGAUCAACAAGUGACCAUACGCUAUUGAUCUCUAUGGACUUCAUCUUGGAUUUCAGGGCUUCAAGCCACUUGUCAGAGUCGGAUCUCUGCAUGGCAUCCAUAUUGGUGAUCGAAUCCUCAUUGUUUUCAUCAAGUUCAACAAGAUCACCGUCCUG
rnacentral:lncRNA from 1 species